UAUAGCAUUAUUUUUCCUUACAGAAAAAACAAAGCAAACAAGCACUCUCUGAAUCUCCACCAGACUCACAAUGAAGCGUGGAAAUACUGUUGCCAGGAGUCAGGAGUUGCCUGGCCACCUGUUGUCUGUCUUUCACAGCCUGGGUCUUGCUGCACCAUCACAACAUGGAGUAUGUUAAGACUUCUGGCUGUCCCCUGAUGCUAAGCGCAAGAACUGCAAGUCAUGUUCAAUGCUAAGCGUUGUUAAGUGUCCGAAAUACGCUGCUGAAAACAACCACAGCAACACAGACAUGACAGGUACUUCAUAACCUGUGCAUGAAGAAAUUCGGAGCUCCCCAUCCAUGGGUGUUUUUUUUUUUCAACCAUUUAAUGUGUGUAUUUUCUCCCAGAAGGCUUGCUCACAUUAUUGUAUUUUCAGCCCCACCUUUCUGCCUCUGUGCCUAUUUUUGCCCUUUCUAUUAAAUAAACUUUUGGCUCUGGUGACUUCACUGA